rnacentral:rRNA from 1 species
UACGUAGGGUGCAAGCGUUAAUCGGAAUUACUGGGCGUAAAGCGUGCGCAGGCGGCUUUGCAAGGACAGAUGUGAAAUCCCCGGGCUUAACCCUGGGAACUGCAUUUGUGACUGCAUGGCUGGAGUGCGGCAGAGGGGGAUGGAAUUCCGCGUGUAGCAGUGAAAUGCGUAGAUAUGCGGAGGAACACCGAUGGCGAAGGCAAUCCCCUGGGCCUGCACUGACGCUCAUGCACGAAAGCGUGGGGAGCAAACAGG